rnacentral:lncRNA from 1 species
UGGCACUGGAAGAAUGAGAAGCCAAAUGAUGGGGGAGAGUAUCUUGCUCGCCUUCUCUCUAGAGCAAGGCUCAACGGGGGGCUGAGGUCGUGGAUGUUCUGGAAUGCUGAGCCUUUUCUUCCUUUAUUGCAGCAUACCAACUGUCACAGGCUGACUGUAACCCCAAAAGCCCAAGCCCCCAGUGUGAUGGUGUUUGGAAGGGGGUCCUCUAGGAGGUUUAGAAAAGGUCAUAAGGGUGGGGUGCUUGUGAUGGAGUUAAUGCUAUUGUAAGAAGAGAGACCAGAGCUCCCUCAAAGAGGCCAUGUGAGCACCCGGUGAGAUGGCAGCAGCCCACAUGCCAAGAUAAGAGGCCUCAGAGUGAAACCUAGCUCGAUGACUACUUGUCCUUGGACUUCCCAGCCUUGAGAACUGGGAAAAGUAAAAUUUCUGUUGUUUCAGCUUUAGUGUUAUGGUCUCCUGAACAGACAAAGACACCAAGACAUGGAAGGAAGUCUCAAUCCUCCAAUUAAGUUCCUUACCAAGUCCUGAAACUUUCUUCCCAGAUCAUGAGUUCUUUCCACCCAGGCUUUUGAAGGCAUGCUGAGCUGAGACAAUGAAGACAGGGACGGAGCUGUAUAAACCACAACAACCACCCACACUGCUGUUUCUGAACAUCCAUCAACUUUCCCAUGGCCACUGGCAGGCUCGCCACUGGCUGCUACCGUCCCCAAUUCCAUGUGGCCCAGAAAGCAAUGCUGGGAGCGCUGUGCAGGGGCUGCGACGAUAUUCCUGACAUAUGUUCCCACGGCCAGGACAAUGCAUUGGGUACUGAUCAUCAGAAGCCAGUCUGGCCAGAGCACAACGUUCCCAUGCUUUACCCCUGACACAGUAAGCAUGGCUCCACCAGCCUCUCCAUGAAACAUACAAAUGGGUUCCAGAAAGAAGCAGAGCGCAAAAGGAUAUGCAAGUAAAGAUGAGCUCAUCGUCAUUUAUAAUAGAAUGGCAUCAAUAAAUUCUUC